rnacentral:lncRNA from 1 species
GGGGUGACUGCUUCCUGCUUAGGGCCAUCCAGAACCGCAUCGGGGCCCCCUGUGGUGCUGUGAUGAAACUCUUGGCCGGAGACCUUGUAUUUGAGCACGUGACCCUCUGCCUGGGAUCUCAUAUUCCGGUCAUGAGGUUGGGAUUCCACAAGGCCAAGAUGUCAGCACUAAGCCCCCAACAAAAUGUGCUUGGCUCCAAAGCUAAGAAGUGGAAGCCUUCCUGUCAUAUCCCUGCCUUCGACCCAGAGUCCCGGAUGCGGGUGGCAUUCAGCAGUGGAUUUUUUAAGUGCAACCCGACAGUCAUCUGAAAGACACAUAUUCCUCCUCUCCCGCCAGCCCCCAAGUCCGCGACUAAAACAUGAC